rnacentral:tRNA from 1 species
GGCACGGUGGUGCAGUGGGUAGCAUUGUUGCCUCGCAGCACGAAGGUCGUGGGUUCGAAUCUCAGCUUGGGGCC